rnacentral:rRNA from 1 species
GACGAACGCUGGCGGCGUGCCUAAUGCAUGCAAGUCGAGCGGGCUACAGUCUUCGGAUUGUAGCUUAGCGGCGAACGGGUGAGUAACACGUAGGUAAUCUACCCUUCAGAGGAGGACAACCUCAGGAAACUGAGGCUAAACCUCCAUACGUUCAUAUGCAGGGAUGCAGAUGAAGAAAGAGUUACCCGUGAGGGUAGCUGCUGAAGGAUGAGCCUGCGGCCCAUCAGGUAGUUGGUGAGGUAACGGCUCACCAAGCCUAAGACGGGUAACCGGUCUGAGAAGAUGUCCGGUCACACUGGGACUGAGACACGGCCCAGACUCCUACGGGAGGCAGCAGCAGGGAAUCUUGGGCAAUGGGCGAAAGCCUGACCCAGCGACGCCGCGUGGAGGAAGAAGUCCUCGGGCGGUAACGUACCUCGGACGUGGGGACGGAGGUAAGGACGGUACCCGACGUACGAAAGGGACGGACGUAACGUAACGUAGUCCGAGCACGACCGCGGUAAACGUAAGUACGUAC